UACAGAGAAGGAAUUUGAUGCCCAAAAAGAGAACCUAACCUGCUCAGGGUCCCAGAGCUGGUAAGAAGCUGAGCCAGCAUUCCAGCCCAGAUUCUACUUCCUCCUCAAUCUGUCACUCUUCGUAGUUAGGAAGCACAAAGGGCACAGAAGCAACCAAAGGUGAAUAGUUAUUCUGAGAUGUGAUCAGGGAGUCAGUGAGAAAGGAAGAUUUAUUGAGAGAGAACUCCCAGGCGACUGGGACACGGAGAUCCACCAAAGCCAUCUGAGGUCCCAUCAGCCACUGGAGUCAGGCAACUCUCUUCAGCUUCAAAGUUGCAGUGGUGCCCAUCUACACCGGUGGAGGGAAGUUUCUUCCUCAAGAGUUCAACUUUACCAAGAAACCCCCAGAUUUGGUAUUCACAACAAAGUCUGAAACACAGCUAGAUUACUAGUUAUGUUAAAGGAAUUAUCUUUCAAAGUUAUUAAUCCAUGUAUGAUUAUUUAGCAAAACCCAGGAAGUUGAAGUACUUGGAUACUUUCUUUACUUAGAGAGAGUAACUACAGGGGCAGCUAGGUGGUUCAGUGGAGAACCAAGCCUGGAGACACAGAGGUCUAGUUCAAAUCUGGCCUCAGACACUUCCCAGCUGUGUGACCCUGGGCAAGUCACUUAACCCCAACUGCCUAGCCUUUACCACUCUUCUG
rnacentral:lncRNA from 1 species